rnacentral:rRNA from 1 species
AGCAGCCGCGGUAAUUCCAGCUCCAAUAGCGUAUAUUAAAGUUGUUGCAGUUAAAAAGCUCGUAGUUGAAUUUCGAGACCGGUUUAUUGGUCGUGCUUUUGUACGUACUGGUAUAAUCGGUUUCUCUCUUCUGACGAACUAUAAUGCCAUUAAUUUGGUGUUAUGGGAAAUCAGGACUGUUACUUUGAAAAAAUUAGAGUGUUUAAAGCAGGCUCACGCUUGAAUACAUUAGCAUGGAAUAACGGAAUAGGACGUUUGAUUCUAUUUUGUUGGUUUCUAGGAUCGACGUAAUGAUUAAUAGGGAUAGUUGGGGGCAUUAGUAUUCAAUUGUCAGAGGUGAAAUUCUUGGAUUUAUUGAAGACUAACUACUGCGAAAGCAUUUGCCAAGGAUGUUUUCAUUAAUCAAGAACGAAAGUUAGGGGAUCGAAGACGAUCAGAUACCGUCGUAGUCUUAACCAUAAACUAUGCCGACUAGGGAUCGGAUGAUGUUAAUUUUAAUGACUCAUUCGGCACCUUACG